AAAAAAUAAAUAAAAAAUAACAAAAUAAAAAAAAAAUAAAAAAAGAGAAAAAAAACAAAAAUAAAAACAAAAAAAAGAAAAAAAACAAAAAUAAAAAUAAAAAAAACACAAAAAAAGAAAAAAAUAAUAUAAAAAAAAACCCGCCACUUGGUUUUCAGUGCCCUUCCUGUCCUUGAUUUCCAAAUCAAAUUCCUGCAGUAAUAAAAUCCAUCUGAUCAACCGAGGCUUUGCA
rnacentral:lncRNA from 1 species